CCGGGUCUUAAUUACAUUGCUGUUUGUGGGAUCUUGCUCUGCAUAAAUAGGACAAAAGUUCCACUUCACAGCUCUGCUCACAGAGGGGGAAGAAUCACCACCUCCCAAUCGCACAGGAUAUCAGCUCCGCUCUCAAACCUCAAACUCUUGGAGGCAUGCCCUACCGUUUCCUUUCAAGAGCGCGGCCUACUCUCACUGUCGGGAUGCAGACACUGCUCCCUUUGUGCUGACGGGUCAGUUUUAAAUCACGGUCACAGGGAGAACCUGCAAAACUCCACACAGGCAGCAACUGAGGUCAGAUCAAACCCAGGUGCCCGGAGCUGUGAGCCGGCAGCUCGACUGCGUUAUCGGGGAAGCAGCAGCAAAUAGAUUGCCUGGUCAACGCCUGGACCAUGCUCAGUCAGGCACAUCCUGAGCGGAUUCUCCUGCCUUAUUGUCUGCCUGCACUGCACUUACUCUGCAUUCUGUUAUUGCUUUACCCUGUACUGCCUCAGUACACUGUGUAAUGAGUUGAUCUGUACGAAUGGUAUGCAAGACAAGUUUUUCACUGUACCUCGGUUCAAAUGACAA